rnacentral:rRNA from 1 species
GACGAACGCUGGCGGUGUGCCUAAUACAUGCAAGUUGAGCGCUGAAGGUUGGUACUUGUACCGACUGGAUGAGCAGCGAACGGGUGAGUAACGCGUGGGGAAUCUGCCUUUGAGCGGGGGACAACAUUUGGAAACGAAUGCUAAUACCGCAUAAAAACUUUAAACACAAGUUUUAAGUUUGAAAGAUGCAAUUGCAUCACUCAAAGAUGAUCCCGCGUUGUAUUAGCUAGUUGGUGAGGUAAAGGCUCACCAAGGCGAUGAUACAUAGCCGACCUGAGAGGGUGAUCGGCCACAUUGGGACUGAGACACGGCCCAAACUCCUACGGGAGGCAGCAGUAGGGAAUCUUCGGCAAUGGACGAAAGUCUGACCGAGCAACGCCGCGUGAGUGAAGAAGGUUUUCGGAUCGUAAAACUCUGUUGGUAGAGAAGAACGUUGGUGAGAGUGGAAAGCUCAUCAAGUGACGGUAACUACCCAGAAAGGGACGGCUAACUACGUG